AGCGAACGCUGGCGGCAGGCCUAACACAUGCAAGUCGAGCGCCCAGCAAUGGGAGCGGCAGACGGGAUAGUAACACGUGGGAACGUACCUUUCAGUUCGGAACAACCCAGGGAAACUUGGGCUAAUACCGAAUACGCCCGUAAGGGGAAAGAUUUAUCGCUGAAAGAUCGGCCCGCGUCUGAUUAGCUAGUUGGUGGGGUAAUGGCCCACCAAGGCGACGAUCAGUAGCUGGUCUGAGAGGAUGAUCAGCAUCACUGGGACUGAGACACGGCCAGACUCCUACGGGAGGCAGCAGUGGGGAAUAUUGGACAAUGGGCGCAAGCCUGAUCCAGCCAUGCCGCGUGGAUGAUGAAGGCCCUAGGGUUGUAAAGCUCUUUCGGUGGGGAAGAUAAUGACGGUACCCACAGAAGAAGCCCCGCUAACUUCGUGCCAGCCGCCGCAGU
rnacentral:rRNA from 1 species